AUACGGAGGAUCCGAGCGUUAUCCGGAUUUAUUGGGUUUAAAGGGUGCGCAGGCGGCCAUUUAAGUCAGCGGUUAAAUCGUGGGGCUCAACCCCAUUCUGCCGUUGAUACUGGGUGGCUUGAUUGCGGUCGAGGUUGGCGGAAUUCGUUGUGUAGCGGUGAAAUGCACAGAUAUGACGAAGAACACCGAUUGCGUAGGCAGCUGACCAGAUCGCAAAUGACGCUCAUGCACGAAAGUGCGGGGAUCGAACAGGAUUAGAUACCCUGGUAGUCCGCACAGUAAACGAUGAAUACUUGUUUUCGGCGAUAUAAUGUCGGAGGCAAAGCGAAAGCGAUAAGUAUUCCACCUGGGGAGUACGCCGGCAACGGUGAAACUCAAAGGAAUUGACGGGG
rnacentral:rRNA from 1 species